UAAAAAUAUUAUGAAUGCUGCAUCUUAUUAAUUCUCUGUAUGAAGUUACGCUGGAUGUGACGCCAUUUGUCUGUGUAUUGGGGUAUGUGGAGGACUUGCCAAUCACUGAGCCCAGGAAGAUAGCAGUGGCCAGAAUGUUGUAUAUGGCUCGUAAGCUGAU